UACGAACUGUGCAAACGUUAUUCGGAUUUACUGGGUUUAAAGGGUGUGUAGGCGGGCUUUUAAGUCAGUGGUGAAAUCUCCGGGCUCAACCUGGAAACUGCCAUUGAUACUAUUAGUCUUGAAUUUUGUUGAGGUAGGCGGAAUAAGUCAUGUAGCGGUGAAAUGCAUAGAUAUGACUUAGAACACCAAUUGCGAAGGCAGCUUGCUAAACAAAUAUUGACGCUGAGGCACGAAAGCGUGGGGAUCAAACAGG
rnacentral:rRNA from 1 species